UACUGACCGUGCGCCGGGUGCGGGUGGUGGUUGUGGUGGUAGUGCGCGGGCGGCAGGUAGGCGGGCGCGGGCGGGGAGCGCGCGGGCGAGCUGUCGGCCGCUCGCGCGGGCGAGCUGUCGGCCGCUGUACGUGUAUACUGACCGUGCGCCGGGUCCGGGUGGUGGUUGUGGUGGUAGUGCGCGGGCGGCAGGUAGGCGGGCGCGGGCGGGGAGCGCGCGGGCGAGCUGUCGGCCGCUUGCGCGGGCGAGCUGUCGGCCGCUGUACGUGUAUACUGACCGUGCGCCGGGUGCGGGUGGUGGUUGUGGUGGUAGUGCGCGGGCGGCAGGUAGGCGGGCGCGGGCGGGGAGCGCGCGGGCGAG